UUGUUGGUGGUUCAGUGGUAGAAUGCCCGCCUGCCAUUCGGGCGACCCGGGUUCGAUUCUCGGCCAAUGCA
rnacentral:tRNA from 1 species